AUUGGCUCCGUGCACGAUUACAGCGCCAACUAGCGUCCACAACUUUGUGGGCUCUGUCACAUUGACAUUUAGGUCGUAUAUUUGUGAAAAAAUAUCGAAAUGAAAAAAUAACAAAUAUUUUCAACUAAUAAAUUGUUGUGAUACCACGAUUUGGGUGGAAAAAAGGUUUUGAAAUCAUUUUGGUCAUUCAAAUCAAAUGAGAUCGAAAUGAGUAUCGUUUUGAAGACCGGGUUUGUGAGAGUUACAAUAUCAAAUUCCAACCACAAACCGUAUUUAAAGGAAAGUUGUUGGUAUUGGCUGGACAAGUCCGAGAUGUAGAAGAAUUAAGAACAAAACAAGGGCAGAGUUCAAUAAUUCACGCUCUCAUCAUAAGGCAAACAUCUGUGCACAACAACUACUGUGACUCAUUUUUGUACUACCACGUUGUAUAGUUUAGUUAUUUCCAAAUUGUAAACGGCUAUUAAAACAGCCCUAUCGAAAUACAGUCCACUCUUUUAUUUAAGUUCCCAGUAGGACCCUUUUCAUGCGAUUAAUUAAUGAUAUUAAAAUGUAUUAUGUAGAAUCGCUUUGCCAUUGACAGAUACAUCUGAUGACAGAGCUAACAUUAUUUCUACUUUUGACCACCAUGAGCGCUGCGAUAGAUUAUGUCCCCCCCACCUAGUACUUCGCACCCAGCGAAUAUGGGAUAUGGGACACCCUGUAAAUAAUUUUCACAACAACCUAAGGUUAACCCUUAAUCGAAUUCAAUUUUUAAGAGAUAAAUA